AUACGUAGGGAGCGAGCGUUGUCCGGAAUUACUGGGCGUAAAGGGCGCGUAGGCGGCGCUUCAAGUCGUCUGUCAAAUGGGAGGGCUUAACCCUUUUUCGCAGACGAAACUGGAGAGCUUGAGAAGCAGAGAGGCAAACAGAAUUCCUGGUGUAGCGGUGAAAUGCGUAGAUAUCAGGAAGAAUACCAGUGGCGAAGGCGGUUUGCUGGCUGCAUACUGACGCUGAAGCGCGAAAGCCAGGGAAGCAAACGGGAUUAGAUACCCCGGUAGUCCUGGCAGUAAACGAUGUAUGCUGGGUGUGAGACUAGCGAUAGUUUCGUGCCGAAGUUAACGCGAUAAGCAUACCGCCUGGGGAGUACGGUCGCAAGAUUGAAACUCAAAUGAAUUGACGGGG
rnacentral:rRNA from 1 species